UCAUGGCCCUUCACCUGAGCCCAAGCGCUUCCUCAUUCUCAGCCGUCCCGCUGCCCGUCUCCCUCCCAAACCCUCCUCUCCUCCUUUGUUCACGGCCGUAGCCUAGGGUUUCGUCCACUCUUCAGUCCUACCGUUGGGAGAACUAUGCAACCGGCCCUUCUCCUCCUUCUCCUUCCCAUUCUGUGAAGGAGAAGGAGGAGAAGAUAUUCCGACGGCUUCUUGGAGUGAUCCGCCACUUCGGGCUUGACUGCUUUUUAUUGGACAGGUUUUUGCCCAAGCUGAUGAUUCCUAGGACUUAGGGUUGGAUACCUCUCCUCUCAAUUCCAUCAGCGGCGCCUGCUUCUCUCCAUCUUGCCGGCUGGCGACGAAGAGCACAAAGAAGAAGAGAGAUUAAUGUUUUGGACCUCCUAGCAGUGGAUUUAUCAAGGAAGCUGAUUUACAAGGUAGUAACUUGUUCUCAGGACUUACUCGAUUAUGCAAAGGCCUCUCUAUGAUACCUGUUGGAGGUUAUGUUCUAUUGCAGAUUUUCCCCUCAGCUGCCACAUAUCUUGCUCUUAUCACUGCUAGUGGAAACUAGUGCGCCCAGUGUUAAUCGGGCGCGCGCCUGCGCCUUGCGCCUAGGCCCCAGGACCCCUUGCGCCUAGAUGCGCCUUGCGCCUGUGACAACCUUGCUCUUCUUACUUCUUUUCUCAAUUGGUCGCCGUUGGCUCUUCUGUGCGAGAAAUGCGUCACCACCACCUCAUCUUCAAACAGUUACCACCUCUGAGGCAAGGGCUCACAAAAUUACAGUGCACACUCAGGGGAUGCAUCAGGGACUCAUGGGCAGUGUGAUUUGAAGAGGGUGUUCAGGGUUGUGGAGAGAAGCAACGCCGGCGAGGGAUUUCGGGAAGAUAUUGAUGAUAAAUGGCGGGCAUGUAGAAGAACCUGGGGAUGAGGAGGAAUUCAACCGUUUGUUUUGGGGCAGAAGAAGCAAUCUUUUAAUGCGCUGGAGCAGAGGUGGCUGAAUGUGCAUGCAUCAUUGGGUUCCCUAAGUUCAAGGUGUGCUUGAAGAUGUUGCUGAAAGGGCCACUAUAAUUUUGGAAACAGUGAAGUUGAAUAAGGCAGUAGACCGAUUGCUCAAGCCCAAAGAUUUUGGCUAAGGAUCGACCAUACAAGAUCAUGGUUGUGCCUAAGUUGCAUAUACUCCAACCUCAUCCUGAUGCUUCUAGUGAGAUGUGCAAUGCUAGAGUUCCCUCAUCCAUCAUUGACCUUGAGCUGGACAAGGUUCUUCACCCCUCUAUCGGCUCAAUCUUUCUUUCUCUCCAGUGCUAUAACAUCAUGUGUGAGAAAGAAAGAUCCUGAUGCUCCCCAAGCGAAUUGGAAGCGCCCUGAAGUAGUGAAUUUGGAGGCUAUUAUUCCAAUCUUAAUAGAACUUCAAUAGGCUAGGAUGGCUAAAGAUUAUUUAUCAUUGCAUUCCUCCGAAGUUGAUGAGAAGAAGCAUUUUUACGACUAUGAGGUUCUAAGUCAAGUGACUCACCACCAUUUUAUCAAUUCCAUUCUUCACCGCACUAUUUUGUACAAGUCAUUUCUUUAUUUGUAAGUGAUCUUUUAUCUCAUGCUACCCAUCAAUUUUAUUUGAUUUUAUUAACAAUAUUAUUCAUAUGGUUUGCUGACUUUAUUUUAUAUUAUUUAUCAAGAAUAAUAUACAUCACAGAUUUAUAAAUCACCUUUGUCUCUGUUAAAUUGGACAUGAUUAAUUAACAUCGAUUUUAAUUGAACAUGUGUUUGUAUCAUUUAUUCAAUUUGAUGUUGUUAAUCAAUUUUACUAGUAACCAAUUUUGAUUUACUUAAUUCUAUAUUAGUAUGUAUUUUAUGUGUUAAUGAAUUUGUUAGGCCUCCUAUACAUCUAACAUAUUUCUAGGAGGAAAAAUAGGGGACUUAAUCCUAUAUUAAUAUGUAUUUGAUAUGUUAAAGGAUGUUACUUGGUUGCAGGAAAGUAAUGACCCUCUUGAAUGGUAAUCAUUUGUGUCCUUAUCUUUGUGUUUCUAAUAGAAAUUAUAGCUACUUCUCUAUGAUUAACCAUUUCAUUGUUCUAAAAUUAUUUUUCUCCCUUUUGCUAUUUUAUCUUGUAAUCUCAUCAACUUUGUAUCAAAAGCAUGAUCCAAUGGAGCCUAAAAACAAUGAGGGAAAAGUUGAGAUUUUGGAGAAGGUGGAAGGAAUGAAGUUUGAGUUGUAGAGGCUACUAAAGAUGGAGAAAACGAUGGAAGGUUUAGCUCAAAGAUUAGCUUAAGUUCUUUGAACGUCGAAAAACAUGCAGCGUCGGUUGAGUCCAUGGGAAGAUCCAAUGCGAAGCAGUAUGAGAGAAAACUCCAAGAGAAGAAUGUUACCUAUAGGAACAAGAGAAAUUUUCUUUUAAAUCUCAAACGUAAGUGUUGUCUUUUCUCUUUACUAUAUUUUACUAAUUAACAGAGAUGAACCUGAAUGUUAUGAAGAAGCGGUUCAAGUGGAAGACUCUGUCAAGUGGGAGUUAAGUUAACUUUGAAAGAUGAGAUGAACUCAUUGAUGACAAACAACACAUGGCAACUUACUGAAUUACCAAGAGAUUUUUGUCAAAGGGAAGGACUUGUGGGGCUAUGUUGAUGGCAGUACUCCUUCUCCCGACAAAGACAGACAAGAUCGAGCAUGCCAAAUGGGAGGUCAAGGAUGCUCAAAUCAUGGCCUGGAUUCUAGGAUCUGUCGAACCCAACAUCGUCUUGAAUCUUCGACCUUUCAAGACUUCAGCCGAAAUGUGGACUUUUCUCAAAAAACUCUACAGUCAACAUAAUACUGCCCGGCGAUUCCAAUUGGAGCAUGACUUAGCCAUUCUUCAACAGGAUAGUCUCUCAAUUUCUGAUUUUUACUCUUGCUUCAUGAAUCUUUGGGCUGAAUAUACGGAUAUUGUUUAUGCAACCGUACCUAUUGAAGGCCUCAAAUCUGUUCAAACAAUCCAUGAAACAACUAAAAGAGAUAAAUUUCUCAUGAAAUUGAGAUCUGAAUUUGAAGCAACGAGGUCUAAUCUUAUGAAUCGAGAAGCUGUUCCCUCUUUGGAUGCAUGUCUCAAUGAUUUGUUUCGGGAAGAACAACGCCUUCUCACUCAAAACACCCUGAAAGAACAAAAAUCUAAUUUUGUUCCUAUGGCUUAUGCAGCACACAGCAAGCCGAGAGGAAGAGA